rnacentral:rRNA from 1 species
GCUUGCUCCCAAAGAUUAGCGGCGGACGGGUGAGUAACACGUGGGUAACCUGCCUGUAAGAUUGGGAUAACUCCGGGAAACCGGAGCUAAUACCGGAUAACAUGUCGAACCGCAUGGUUCGACAUUGAAAGAUGGCUUCGGCUAUCACUUACAGAUGGACCCGCGGCGCAUUAGCUAGUUGGUGAGGUAACGGCUCACCAAGGCGACGAUGCGUAGCCGACCUGAGAGGGUGAUCGGCCACACUGGGACUGAGACACGGCCCAGACUCCUACGGGAGGCAGCAGUAGGGAUUCUUCCGCAAUGGACGAAAGUCUGACGGAGCAACGCCGCGUGAACGAUGAAGGCCUUCGGGUCGUAAAGUUCUGUUGUUAGGGAAGAACAAGUACCAGAGUAACUGCUGGUACCUUGACGGUACCUAAC